rnacentral:rRNA from 1 species
AGAGUUUGAUCAUGGCUCAGAACGAACGCUGGCGGCAGGCCUAACACAUGCAAGUCGAACGAACCUUCGGGUGAGUGGCGCACGGGUGCGUAACGCGUGGGAAUAUACCCUUGAGUAAGGAAUAACGUCUGGAAACGGGCGCUAAUACCUUAUAAUGACUUCGGUCCAAAGAUUUAUCGCUCAAGGAUUAGCCCGCGUCUGAUUAGCUAGUUGGUGAGGUAACGGCUCACCAAGGCGAUGAUCAGUAGCUGGUCUGAGAGGAUGAUCAGCCACACUGGAACUGAGACACGGUCCAGACUCCUACGGGAGGCAGCAGUGAGGAAUAUUGCGCAAUGGGGGAAACCCUGACGCAGCCAUGCCGCGUGAGUGAUGAAGGCCUUAGGGUUGUAAAGCUCUUUCAAUGGUGAAGAUAAUGACGGUAGCCAUAGAAGAAGCCCCGGCUAAAUUCGUGCCAGCAGCCGCGGUAAUACGAAUGGGGCAAGCGUUGUUCGGAAUCACUGGGCUUAAAGCGUGCGUAGGCGGAUUUGCAAGUCAGGAGUGAAAUCCCAGGGCUCAACCCUGGAACUGCUCUUGAAACUGCAAGUCUAGAAACCGGUAGGGGCUAAUGGAAUUCCAAGUGGAGAGGUGAAAUUCGCAGAGAUUUGGAGGAACACCAGUGGCGUAGGCGAUUAGCUGGACCGGUAUUGACGCUGAGGCACGAAAGCGUGGGAGAGCAAACAGGAUUAGAUACCCUGGUAGUCCACGCCGUAAACGAUGUGUGCUAGCUGUCGGGCUCUUAGAGUUCGGUGACGGAGCGAAAGUUUUAAGCACACCGCCUGGGGAGUACGGUCGCAAGAUUAAAACUCAAAGGAAUUGACGGG